UACGUAGGUGGCAAGCGUUGUCCGGAUUUACUGGGCGUAAAGAGCGCGCAGGCGGUCGUUCAAGUCGCGUGUGAAAGCCCCCCGGCUCAACUGGGGAGGGUCACGCGAUACUGAUCGACUCGAAGGCAGGAGAGGGUAGUGGAAUUCCCGGUGUAGUGGUGAAAUGCGUAGAUAUCGGGAGGAACACCAGUGGCGAAGGCGACUACCUGGCCUGUUCUUGACGCUGAGGCGCGAAAAGCUAGGGGAGCAAACGGG
rnacentral:rRNA from 1 species